GCGACACCCCUCCGGGGCAAGACUUGCUUCAGUGGGGCUUUGGAGCUCACUGAGUCUGCCCCCUGAGUGUGUCCUU
rnacentral:pre_miRNA from 1 species